GGGAGCUUGCUUCCAAUCGUAGUGGCGAACGGGUGAGUAAUACAGUCGGAACGUACCGUGUAGUGGGGAUAACGUAGCGAAAGUUACGCUAAUACCGCAUACGAUCCACGGAUGAAAGCAGGGGACCUUCGGGCCUUGUGCUAUACGAGCGGCCGAUGUCUGAUUAGCUAGUUGGUGAGGUAAAGGCUCACCAAGGCGACGAUCAGUAGCGGGUCUGAGAGGAUGAUCCGCCACACUGGGACUGAGACACGGCCCAGACUCCUACGGGAGGCAGCAGUGGGGAAUUUUGGACAAUGGGCGCAAGCCUGAUCCAGCCAUGCCGCGUGUCUGAAGAAGGCCUUCGGGUUGUAAAGGACUUUUGUCAGGGAGCAAAACUUACUGGUUAAUACCUGGUGAGGUUGAGAGUACCUGAAGAAUAAGCACCGGCUAACUACGUGCCAGCAGCCGCGGUAAUACGUAGGGUGCAAGCGUUAAUCGGAAUUACUGGGCGUAAAGCGUGC
rnacentral:rRNA from 1 species